rnacentral:lncRNA from 1 species
AGGUACCAUAAUAACCAAUUCUCCUCUCCUCCAGAAGUGAAUAUCGGUUAGAGUUUCUGGAAAAUGAAAAUACUUCUGACGUUUUAGAACUUUUCAAAAAACAAUCAUAGCAUUUAGUAAUAUACGUUAAGGUAUUUAUUUAAAUCACAUACCUCCUCAUGCCUCAUUCGCUUAUAGUUGAUUCUGUUUCGAAAAAUAUAGGAAACAUUUGAGAAGGUCAAAG